GUCAUUUGCGGUCAAGAAUUGUUUUCUUGUUUUUACUUUAAAUGAAACUUGACUUUUUUAUUUCUUUCAGAAACACUUUUGACUUCCUUGUGUGAGACACAAGUCCUUUUCAUGACAUGGGUUCAUAACCUCUUCUUGAGCCAAGAUCAGCAAAGAACAUCUAUAUAAAUAAAUACCCUUCUAUCAGAGCUCUAGGUGAAAGCAGCUCACAAGGAACAUAGCAACAUCUACAUGCGGGAAGCAGCUAAGAACUGAGAUCUUUGCAAACAGAGAUGUGCAUGUGGUGAUAUUUGAAAGUCUUGAAACUUCCUGCCUCAACUGGAAGAGAACAGAAACAAAUAGAAAAAUAAAGGUGGAAAAUGCAUCAGUAUCUAUGGGAAGCAAGUUUCAGAGAGACAGCACAGCUGCACCUGAAACUCAUUUUUGCCUCACCUACACGAACGCACACUUGAUGUGCCUCAGCUCUCACCCAGCUGAGAAGUCAAGCACCACAGGAUUUAUCUUACCGACCGCAAGAAGAAAACGACACUCAGACCCUGCCUGUGUGGGCUGAAUGUUUCAAGAGAAAUUUAUCAAGUACGUUCGAGUAACGAAUACAUCUGAGGAAGCCAUAAUAUAGUGAGCAGGAAAAAAAAUUAAAAAGUUUUAAAUGCAUUAAAUAAAUUAUCUGCAGCAAAUUAGUUGCUCAGCUUUCCUUCAGUGGGAUUUGUAUA